AUGGGCAUUUUGUUGAUCAUCAAUCUUACCUUUCAAUUUCGUAGACUUAUUAUUUUCAACAACCAGGGUUCUGUAAUUGCAAAGAAUAAUCCUAAAUCUCCUGGUUUAAUGAAGCCAAACAAGUUAAAGUCUACACCUAGAAAUGGGAUUUUAACCAGCACGAUAUCUGAGACUGUGGCUGAUACUGAAAAAGAUAUCAAAAUUCUAAACAAGGCUCCUCAUUUGCGUUCUAAUUUUACAGCAUCCACUCCUCCAAAUACAUAUCACCAAACAGGAAGUUUUUCAUCAUUAGCCAACCCAAGAUGCCAUGUUUCCCCCCCCACAAACUACAGGCCAAAUACCUCUACUAACUACAGACCAACUGGGAGAGUGUCUAGUGUAAAUGAUUGAUUUUUGUUGAAUGACAAAUUCAGGAGUGGACAAUCUGAAACGUCAAUGGAAAUGACUCGGGGUCCUCGGGGUCGUUACAACAAUUUUCUUCUAAAACCAUCACUUGUUAAGGAUGCGCUUGUGAUCACAAUAUGUAAAGAUGAAUAUAACCUUUCAGAUUUCCAAACUGAAUAUGAAACUGCAAAAUUUAAUGUGAUUAAAUCUUUCAAUGAAGACGAAGUUCAUAAGAGUGUUAAAUAUAAUGUUUGGACAAGUACUCCAAAUGGAAAUAAGAAGUUGAACGCAGCAUUCCUUGAUGCAGAAGCUAAAUUGAGACCGACAGGAACCAAGUGUCCAGUUUUUCUCUUUUUCUCAGUUAAUGCUAGCAGACAGUUUGUUGGAGUGGCUGAGAUACUUGGGCCGGUGGACUUUAAAAAAGACAUGAACUUUUGAAAACUUGAUAAGUACAACGGUUUCUUCCCAAUUAAGUGACACAUAAUAAAAGAUGUUCCCAACAAUCAGUUUGUGCAUAUCAUCCUUCCAAGCAAUGAGAACAAGCCUGUAACUUACACUAGGGACACACAAGAGAUUGGACUGAAGAUGCUGAAUAUUUUUAAAAGUUAUUCGGCUAAGAAAUCUCUAUUGGAUGAUUUUGACUUCUAUUAGAGGCGAGAAAAGUUAUUUCGUUCCCAGAGGAGUACUAAGCAUGCAAGGCCAGAACAGGGAGUAUAUGGCAAUGACAAUUACCAAAACACUGUCGAAGCAAGAGAGAAGAAAAUAGAGAUGCAAUCAAGUGGUACCAAGCAAGGUACUCUCGUCAAACUUACCAAAAACCUUACUCUCAACUCCUCUGGAUUUAGAUAGCAAGAUGGCGAGAGGAGAACAAGAGAGCCCGAUAUUUAUUUCUACACGUAGGCAUUUAAGAGUUGCAGACUUGCAGUUUGGUUUGUUUAGAGCUUCUGAAGCACACGCUUCCUUUAUGAUUUGUGUGAUAAGAUGACCACGACACAUUUUAAGUUUGACCAAUUAUUUUUAUAUUACUUGAUGAGUUGAUGUUUGCGUACUAUGGUUCGAUGUCUCCAAUGUUUCUGUAUAAUUUAUUGGCAAGACUGUUUAUUAAUUGUUUCACGUGGAUGAGCGCCCAGUUUCAAA